rfam:Mesocricetus auratus contig069848, whole genome shotgun sequence.
GAAUGUGAGGAAGAACUGUCUGCAACAUAUGUCCCCCGAUUGAUUGACAGGGUUGAUUUUGUUUAUCUGUUUUGCUAGGCAACAUCUUCUUUCACCAUUCCAUAUUUGCCCCCCCCCAAAAGAUUCACACUUGGUUGGAAAAAAUACUUUCUACGAAUCAUGGAGGACUUGUCUUUGUUCAAAGGAAUACGAAUAACUGUGUUUCACUGAUACAAUUUCCAAACAAGUUUUCAAUGUUCAAAAUCUUUAUUUGGGUUUUGAUUGAGUUUAUGUCUUUGUUC